CUGUUUGCUGGUGCUGUGAAGAAACUACGCCAUCAUGAAUGGGCCACAACAUAUUGAGCUUGGUGCCACAGGAGGAGCCUCCAAAAAGGACACCGCCAACAUGGACGACAUGACUGUGGAGGAGAUGACAAUGAAGGCCAACCAAGUGACCGACGAGUCACUGGAAAGCACUCGGAGGAUGCUGCAGAUGGCGGAGGAGAGCAAACAGACUGGCAUCAACACCAUGGUGAUGCUGGACGAGCAAGGAGAGCAGCUGAGGAACGUGGAAGUGGGGAUGGACCAGAUCAACAAGGACAUGAGACAAGCGGAGAAAAACCUGACUGACCUGUCCAAGUGCUGCGGCCUGUGCGUCUGCCCCUGCGACAGGGUGUCGUCAAUCGAGAACGAUCAGAAAUACAAGCGCACCUGGGGCGUCGGGGGAACCGAGGGCGACGGCGAGGCCAACGGCUCCAACGUGGUCUCCAAGCAGCCCGGCGGCGUCCGCAACGGCCAGGCCGCCCAGAUGAACGCCUCCGCCCCGUCGGGCCCGUACAUCAAGAGGGUAACCAACGACGCCCGCGAGGACGAGAUGGAGGAGAAUCUGGAAGCGGUGGGCGGCAUCAUCGGCAACCUGAAGGACAUGGCCUUGCAGAUGGGGAACGAGAUCGAUAAGCAGAACCAACAGAUUGACCGCAUCACCGACAAGGCGGACAUGAACAAACAUCGCAUCGACGAGGCAAACAAGAGAGCCGACAAGCUCAUCAAAUAAAUGGAUCUCGUGCUUCUGCAAGUUUUAUCCUAUCAACCUUGAGCCUCUUUUGCUUCACAGACACACACACACACACACACACACUUCAUACUUGCAGUCAUACACACACGCACAUAAACACACACUUUACACAGCAAAAAGAAAUUGUCAGGAAGAACUUCUGCCAGUAGUGUGCCUGCCUCUCCUGCACUAAGAUGUAGAUGAUCAACAUUUAUAUCUUUUCGAACUGCCCCCCCCCCCCUCACACACACACACACACACACACACACACACACACACACCUCCUUAACAUUCACAACCUUGUAGUCAUGCUGGACUGUGAGAAGCAGUGAAGGCAUCAGAAACGGCCGCAGACAGGAAGUGACUGUGCCUCUCACUGCUGGUUAUUACCAGAUCAGCAGCAGCAGCCGGGCUGUGGCAGCGCGUCAGAAAACAGUGACAGGGAGGGACGUCGCUCAGGUCGGCUGCUUUUUUUUUCCUUGUAGUUUUUUUUUCUCCUCCGAUUUGCUUUUCUCCGAUUGUCUGCGUCUUUGUCUCUAACAUGAUGGAUGGAGGUUACUGGUUUCAGACAGCUCCACUAAUCCCCCCCCAAAAAAAGGACCAAGGUCCGAAACGCAUCUUACUCAAAUCCUCAUUGGUUCAUUGUUUAAUUAUUGUGUCGUGUGUAUUAUUUUGAGAUUAUGUGCUAAUUUAAUUUUUCUUCAGGCAAAAAGUGACUCGUGAAUAAAGUUGUCUUUGUUUAUUUGAAUUUUUUGUUCCCAUGUCAUUUAUGUCAUUUCACUUUUAAAAGCUAUUUCAAAAGGAAGUGAGCGUGCGCUUCGGAGCGAGUCGUGGCAGAACUCGAAGCACUCGCCCUAGAAUGAGAGCAGUUUCUUUCUUUCUUUUUUCCCCCCUCCCCAGUCCUUUUCUUUAAAUCCGGCUGAUGGAAAGUCAGGGGGAUUCUUACAUUUUGUGUGGAGGUUUUGACCUAAUGUUAAAAGCACAAUCACCGAGGUUGUCAGAUGUGAUGGGACGUCUGUAACCGUCACGGGAAAGUUCAUCACUGCCUCCUACAACAACAACAAAAAAAGCUGUUUACUAGACGCUGAGAUGCUCCAGUUCAGCCGCAGUGCCUUAUAUCUUAGGUUUUCGACCUAAACUCUGAAACUUACUGUAGCUUUUUAACUGCCGACAACAGAAAAACCCGACCCGAGAUGUCGAACAGAUUCCGGCGUAGGACUGCGUGGACGAGCAGGGACGCCGUCGGUCCCUCGUAGGUGGUCGGUCGGUUGUGUUCUAACAGCCGCUGCAUCACACCAGCGCCUUUCUGCCUCUGCAGCUCACAGUGAAACGAUAAAAUCUGAUGAUGGAAGGCAUAAUUUGAAAUCCAUUUUGCCCGGCUGUGAAUUUUUCUUUUUCUUUUUUCUUUUUUUUUUUUUUUUUCCCGCUGGCAGCAAGGAUGCAGAAGUGCACAUGUAAAUGAAAGUCGUUGAAGGGGUAAAUGUAGGAGCUGAAAAAGUCCUGGCGGGUUUUAUGUCGAAGCUUCACCGAGGAAAAUUGGCUAAUGAUAAAGUAACACAAUAUGCUGAAAAAUCUCCCCCGUAUGCAUCUCUCGGCUUAUUUGUUUUGAAGAGAAAUGAUAAUUUACGCGCUCCGCUGCAGGCACAUACCUAUUGAGUUUGUAAAGAUUGAAAUGAACUGUUAUUCAGGGCUUUUGUACUCCGAUAAGUGAUCAUCUUCAGCCUGCUUCUCACAGGCUGGGAUCUAAUUAGUCUCGCCCAAAGCUGAAUCGCUGUCUUGGGGCUGUUUAUUCAUUGUUUUACCAACAGCCACUGGAAUGUAAAUACUACCAUUUUUUUUUUUUUUUGUCUGCAUUGAGAAUGUUCAUAUACAUCUGGUCUCCUCAGAAACGAGCUCGCUCUAACAGAUGACUGUUGUUUCAUGGCUGCGUCUGUUCAACUGUUUGUACUCAAUAAAUCAGUUCUGAAAUUCA